CCUACGGGGGGCAGCAGUGAGGAAUAUUGGUCAAUGGACGGAAGUCUGAACCAGCCAUGCCGCGUGCAGGAAGACGGCUCUAUGAGUUGUAAACUUCUUUUGUACAAGGGUAAACCUGGAUACGUGUAUUCAGCUGAAAGUACUGUACGAAUAAGGAUCGGCUAACUCCGUGCCAGCAGCCGCGGUAAUACGGAGGAUCCAAGGGUUAUCCGGAUUUAUUGGGUUUAAAGGGUGCGUAGGCGGAUUGAUAAGUUAGAGGUGAAAUGUCCGAGCUUAACUCGGGAACUGCCGCUAAUACUGUUGAUCUAGAGAGUAGAUGAGGUAGGCGGAAUGUAUGGUGUAGCGGUGAAAUGCUUAGAGAUCAUACAGAACACCGAUUGCGAAGGCAGCUUACCAAUCUAUAUCUGACGUUGAGGCACGAAAGCGUGGGGAGCGAACAGGAUUAGAUACCCCAGUAGUC
rnacentral:rRNA from 1 species